rnacentral:miRNA from 1 species
UAUUAUGCUGUAAUUUCGCGAGU